GCAUAUCAAUAAGCGGAGGAAAAGAAACCAACCGGGAUUGCCCUAGUAACGGCGAGUGAAGCGGCAACAGCUCAAAUUUGAAAUCUGGCUCUUUUAGAGUCCGAGUUGUAAUUUGCAGAGGGCGCUUUGGCUUUGGCAGCGGUCCAAGUUCCUUGGAACAGGACGUCACAGAGGGUGAGAAUCCCGUACGUGGUCGCUGGCUAUUGCCGUGUAAAGCCCCUUCGACGAGUCGAGUUGUUUGGGAAUGCAGCUCUAAAUGGGAGGUACAUUUCUUCUAAAGCUAAAUAUUGGCCAGAGACCGAUAGCGCACAAGUAGAGUGAUCGAAAGAUGAAAAGCACUUUGGAAAGGGAGUCAAACAGCACGUGAAAUUGUUGAAAGGGAAGCGCUUGCAGCCAGACUUGCUUGCAGUUGCUCAUCCGGGCUUUUGCCCGGUGCACUCUUUUGCAGGCAGGCCAGCAUCAGUUUGGGCGGUAGGAUAAAGGUCUCUGUCACGUACCUCUCUUCGGGGAGGCCUUAUAGGGGAGACGACAUACUACCAGCCUGGACUGAGGUCCGCGCAUCUGCUAGGAUGCUGCCGUAAUGGCUGUAAGCGGCCCGUCUUGAAACACGGACC
rnacentral:rRNA from 1 species